rnacentral:misc_RNA from 1 species
GAUGAAGAACGUAGCGAAAUGCGAUAAGUAAUGUGAAUUGCAGAAUUCAGUGAAUCAUCGAAUCUUUGAACGCACAUUGCGCCCCCUGGCAUUCCGGGGGGCAUGCCUGUCCGAGCGUCAUUUCUGCCCUCCAGCCCGGCUGGGUGUUGGGCGCUGUCCCCCCGGGGACACGCCCCAAAGGCAGUGGCGGCGCCGCGUCGGGUCCUCGAGCGUAUGGGGCUUUGUCACCCGCUCGGGACGGACUCGUCGGCGCUGGUCUUCCUCCAGGCGACCCUUCGGGGCUCGUCUUCCUUCGGUUGACCUCGGAUCAGGUAGGGUUACCCGCUGAACUUAAGCAGAUCAAUAAGCGGAGGA